rnacentral:rRNA from 1 species
GAUGAACGCUGGCGGCGUGCCUAAUACAUGCAAGUCGAGCGAACGGACGAGGAGCUUGCUCCUCUGACGUUAGCGGCGGACGGGUGAGUAACACGUGGAUAACCUACCUAUAAGACUGGGAUAACUUCGGGAAACCGGAGCUAAUACCGGAUAAUAUAUUGAACCGCAUGGUUCAAUAGUGAAAGACGGUUUUGCUGUCACUUAUAGAUGGAUCCGCGCCGCAUUAGCUAGUUGGUAAGGUAACGGCUUACCAAGGCGACGAUGCGUAGCCGACCUGAGAGGGUGAUCGGCCACACUGGAACUGAGACACGGUCCAGACUCCUACGGGAGGCAGCAGUAGGGAAUCUUACGCAAUGGGCGAAAGCCUGACGGAGCAACGCCGCGUGAGUGAUGAAGGUCUUCGGAUCGUAAAACUCUGUUAUUAGGGAAGAACAAAUGUGUAAGUAACUAUGCACGUCUUGACGGUACCUAAUCAGAAAGCCACGGCUAACUACGUG